CCUACGGGUGGCUGCAGUGAGGAAUAUUGGUCAAUGGGCGUGAGGCUGAACCAGCCAAGUCGCGUGAAGGAUGACUGCCCUAUGGUUUGUAAACUUCUUUUAUAAGGGAAUAAAGGUAUCCACGUGUGGCUUUUUGCAUGUACCUUAUGAAUAAGCAUCGGCUAACUCCGUGCCAGCAGCCGCGGUAAUACGGAGGAUCCGAGCGUUAUCCGGAUUUAUUGGGUUUAAAGGGUGCGUAGGUGGUUUGUUAAGUCAGUGGUGAAAGUUUGUGGCUCAACCGUAAAAUUGCCGUUGAAACUGGAAGACUUGAGUGUGUUUGAGGUAGGCGGAAUGCGUGGUGUAGCGGUGAAAUGCAUAGAUAUCACGCAGAACUCCGAUUGCGAAGGCAGCUUACUAAGCCAUAACUGACACUGAUGCACGAAAGCGUGGGGAUCAAACAGGAUUAGAUACCCUUGUAGUC
rnacentral:rRNA from 1 species